rnacentral:rRNA from 1 species
UACGGGGGGGAGCAAGCGUUGUUCGGAUUUACUGGGCGUAAAGGGCGCGUAGGCGGCCACCGCAAGUCGACUGUGAAAUCUCCGGGCUUAACCCGGAAAGGUCAGCCGAUACUGCGGGGCUAGAGUGCAGAAGGGGCAACUGGAAUUCUCGGUGUAGCGGUGAAAUGCGUAGAUAUCGGAAGGAACAUCAGUGGCGAAAGCGACUUCCUGGACCAAUACUGAUGCUCAUGUGCGAAAAGCGUGGGGGAGCAAACAGG